rnacentral:rRNA from 1 species
AGCGAACGCUGGCGGCGCGCUUAACACAUGCAAGUCGAACGGUGAACCGGGCUUCGGCCCGGGGAUCAGUGGCGAACGGGUGCGUAACACGUGGGCAACCUGCCCCUCACUCUGGGAUAACCCCGGGAAACCGGAGCUAAUACCGGAUACUCCGACCGGUCCGCAUGGUCCGAUCGGGAAAGGUCCGCCGGUGAGGGAUGGGCCCGCGGCCUAUCAGCUUGUUGGGGAGGUAACGGCUCACCAAGGCGACGACGGGUAGCUGGUCUGAGAGGACGACCAGCCACACUGGGACUGAGAUACGGCCCAGACUCCUACGGGAGGCAGCAGUGGGGAAUCUUGCGCAAUGGGCGAAAGCCUGACGCAGCGACGCCGCGUGGGGGACGAAGGCCCUCGGGUUGUAAACCCCUUUCGGCAGGGACGAAGCGAUCGUGACGGUACCUGCAGAAGAAGCCUCGGCUAACUACGUGCCAGCAGCCGCAGUAAUAC